rnacentral:rRNA from 1 species
UACGUAGGGGGGCAAGCGUUUGUCCCGGAAUCAUUGGGCGUAAAGCGCGCGUAGGCGGCCCGGUAAGUCCGCUGUAAAAGUCCAGGGCUCAACCCUGGAAAGCCGGUGGAUACUGUCGGGCUAGAGUCCGGAAGAGGCGAGUGGAAUUCCUGGUGUAGCGGUGGAAUGCGCAGAUAUCAGGAGGAACACCGAUGGCGAAGGCAGCUCGCUGGGACGGUACUGACGCUAAGGCGCGAAAGCAUGGGGAGCAAACAGG